AAAGCGUAUACAAAGUCGAGUCGGUUUAAGGAUACGUUCGUUGGGUAGGGGAGCGUUCUGUAAGCCUGCGAAGGUGGCCUGUGAGGGUUGCUGGAGGUAUCAGAAGUGCGAAUGCUGACAUAAGUAACGAUAAAGCGGGUGAAAAGCCCGCUCGCCGGAAGACCAAGGGUUCCUGUCCAACGUUAAUCGGGGCAGGGUGAGUCGACCCCUAAGGCGAGGCCGAAAGGCGUAGUCGAUGGGAAACGGGUUAAUAUUCCCGUACUUGGUGUUACUGCGAAGGGGGGACGGAGAAGGCUAUGUUGGCCGGGCGACGGUUGUCCCGGUUUAAGCGUGUAGGUGUGUGUUCCAGGUAAAUCCGGUUCACUUUAACACUGAGGCGUGAUGACGAGGCACUACGGUGCUGAAGCAACAAAUGCCCUGCUUCCAGGAAAAGCCUCUAAGCAUCAGGUAACAUCAAAUCGUACCCCAAACCGACACAGGUGGUCAGGUAGAGAAUACCAAGGCGCUUGAGAGAACUCGGGUGAAGGAACUAGGCAAAAUGGUGCCGUAACUUCGGGAGAAGGCACGCUGACAC
rnacentral:rRNA from 1 species